rnacentral:rRNA from 1 species
UACAGAGGGUGCGAGCGUUAAUCGGAAUUACUGGGUGUAAAGGGCGCGUAGGCGGUAAGAUGUGUGUGUUGUGAAAGCCCCGGGCUUAACCUGGGAAGUGCAAUGCAAACUAUCUAACUAGAGUAUAUGAGAGGGUGGCGGAAUUUCCGGUGUAGCGGUGAAAUGCGUAGAGAUCGGAAGGAACGUCAAUGGCGAAGGCAGC